AUUGAACGCUAGCGGCAUGCUUAACACAUGCAAGUCGAACGGUAACAGGCCUAGCUUGCUAGGUGCUGACGAGUGGCGGACGGGUGAGUAACGCGUAGGUAUCUGCCUUGUAGAGGGGGAUAACCUGGGGAAACCCAGGCUAAUACCGCAUAAGCCCGCAAGGGGAAAGCAGGGGACCGAAAGGCCUUGUGCUAUGAGAUGAGCCUGCGUCGGAUUAGCUAGUUGGUAGGGUAAAGGCCUACCAAGGCGAUGAUCCGUAGCUGGUCUGAGAGGAUGACCAGCCACACUGGGACUGAGACACGGCCCAGACUCCUACGGGAGGCAG
rnacentral:rRNA from 1 species